AACGCUGGCGGCGUGCUUAACACAUGCAAGUCGAACGGAAAGGCCCUGCUUUUGUGGGGUGCUCGAGUGGCGAACGGGUGAGUAACACGUGAGUAACCUGCCCUUGACUUUGGGAUAACUUCAGGAAACUGGGGCUAAUACCGGAUAGGAGCUCCUGCUGCAUGGUGGGGGUUGGAAAGUUUCGGCGGUUGGGGAUGGACUCGCGGCUUAUCAGCUUGUUGGUGGGGUAGUGGCUUACCAAGGCUUUGACGGGUAGCCGGCCUGAGAGGGUGACCGGCCACAUUGGGACUGAGAUACGGCCCAGACUCCUACGGGAGGCAGCAGUGGGGAAUAUUGCACAAUGGGCGGAAGCCUGAUGCAGCAACGCCGCGUGCGGGAUGACGGCCUUCGGGUUGUAAACCGCUUUCGCCUGUGACGAAGCGUGAGUGACGGUAAUGGGUAAAGAAGCACCGGCUAACUACGUGCCAGCAGCCGCGGUGAUACGUAGGGUGCGAGCGUUGUCCGGAUUUAUUGGGCGUAAAGGGCUCGUAGGUGGUUGAUCGCGUCGGAAGUGUAAUCUUGGGGCUUAACCCUGAGCGUGCUUUCGAUACGGGUUGACUUGAGGAAGGUAGGGGAGAAUGGAAUUCCUGGUGGAGCGGUGGAAUGCGCAGAUAUCAGGAGGAACACCAGUGGCGAAGGCGGUUCUCUGGGCCUUUCCUGACGCUGAGGAGCGAAAGCGUGGGGAGCGAACAGGCUUAGAUACCCUGGUAGUCCACGCUGUAAACGGUGGGUACUAGGUGUGGGGUCCAUUCCACGGGUUCCGUGCCGUAGCUAACGCUUUAAGUACCCCGCCUGGGGAGUACGGCCGCAAGGCUAAAACUCAAAGGAAUUGACGGGGCCCCGCACAAGCGGCGGAGCAUGCGGAUUAAUUCGAUGCAACGCGUAGAACCUUACCUGGGUUUGACAUGGAUCGGGAGUGCUCAGAGAUGGGUGUGCCUCUUUUGGGGUCGGUUCACAGGUGGUGCAUGGCUGUCGUCAGCUCGUGUCGUGAGAUGUUGGGUUAAGUCCCGCAACGAGCGCAACCCUUGUUCACUGUUGCCAGCACGUUAUGGUGGGGACUCAGUGGAGACCGCCGGGGUCAACUCGGAGGAAGGUGGGGAUGACGUCAAGUCAUCAUGCCCCUUAUGUCCAGGGCUUCACGCAUGCUACAAUGGCUGGUACAGAGAGUGGCGAGCCUGUGAGGGUGAGCGAAUCUCGGAAAGCCGGUCUCAGUUCGGAUUGGGGUCUGCAACUCGACCUCAUGAAGUCGGAGUCGCUAGUAAUCGCAGAUCAGCAACGCUGCGGUGAAUACGUUCCCGGGGCUUGUACACACCGCCCGUCAAGUCAUGAAAGUUGGUAACACCCGAAGCCGGUGGCCUAACCGUUGUGGGGGAGCCGUCGAAGGUGGGACUGAUGAUUAGGACU
rnacentral:rRNA from 1 species